CAUUCAAUCUAGAGUGUUUUCAGGCCUUGGAUGCUGGCUAAUGAAAUGUGGCUUGGGAUGCAGUAAGAUACCCGGCUAAGGGGAAAUCUACAAUUUCAACUAUCUGUGAUGGUGAUCUGUGGUGAGAGCCUGCUGCAUCAUCUCCGAGGCGUAUAACAGGGUGCCGCUGAAACUGCCCUGAAUAACAUCCCGAUUCAUUUACAGCCAAUGUGUCCGACAGUAAUGCAAAAUGUUACGAGCAGUACUUGAAGGAUUAAAUAUACCAAAGAAAUUGAAAACAGCUUGUUCUUCAUUGUGGGUCAUUCAGCCAAUAUACCCAGCAAAUACCACUUUCACUGGUAAAGAGCUUGUGGACUACAGGUCAAACAGUACAGCUGAAUUCUAGAAAUUUAUGGUUCUGAAGAUAACACUGAAGAAAAUUAAGACAUAAACUGGUCGAGAUGAAA